UAUACCUGUAUCUACCACAGAAACAUGGUGGAGCAACUCAUCAGACGCUGACAGUGAUGAAUUUCUAUGUCUUCGGAGGAAGUGGCAUAGGGCACUGGUAAUGAAGGAGGAAGCUGCCUCUGAGAUGGAAAGGAAGCCAGCAGGGGAGGAGAGUGGAGAACUCCCCUGCACCUCUUCUGGAAUGUUGACCCUGUCUGGAGAGAAUCAUCGUCGCCUGAAGACUGAGAUCUCUAGGAUGAAGGAGAAUCUGAGGUUCAUGA